rnacentral:lncRNA from 1 species
CUCAGCUGGUGGUUUUGGGAUUGGGGAGAGAAGCUCAACUUGUCUAUGACUCUUCCUCUGAACUCUCUCAAGAACCUUGAUUGGAUCAGCCUUCUCUCCCUUGACAACCACCUUGUGACUCUUGCAAUCUGUGCUCACAUCUUCCACCCCUGAAAAAACAAACAUCAUCAAUUAAUUCUCAUAGACGCAUUGAAACAGACACAUUACACAUACAUGGCAAAUCUGAAAGAAAGUUGAAGAACAAUAGAAGAAGUACAAACCUUGAAAGCCUUUGAGGCACCUCUUGACCUUUCUAGCACAACCUUCACAAUGCAUAUAGACUCUGAGCACAAUUUCUUGAGGUGGUGGCGGAGGUGGCGGAGCAUCACCCUCUUUGGCCUCUUUGCCAUCCUUACCCUCUUCAGCUUUCUUCUCUUCCUUCUUCUCCUCAGCUGGUUUCUCUUCCUUCUUAUUCUCCUCAGCCUUCUUUUCCUCUUCAGGCUUUUUCACCUCCUCAG